rnacentral:rRNA from 1 species
CACGUAGGGGCCAAGCGUUGUCCGGAUUUAUUGGGCGUAAAGAGCUCGUAGGCGGUUCGACAAGUCGGGUGUGAAAACUCCGGGCUCAACCCGGAGACGCCACCCGAUACUGUCGUGACUGGAGUCCGGUAGGGGAGUGGGGAAUUCCUGGUGUAGCGGUGAAAUGCGCAGAUAUCUGGAGGAACACCGGUGGCGAAGGCGGCAUCCUGGACCGGUAUUGACGCUGAUGCGCGAAAGCCAGGGGAGCAAACGGG